rnacentral:rRNA from 1 species
GCGUACCUUUUGUAUAAUGGGUCAGCGACUUAUAUUCUGUAGCAAGGUUAACCGUAUAGGGGAGCCGGAGGGAAACCGAGUCUUAACCGGGCGUUAAGUUGCAGGGUAUAGACCCGAAACCCGGUGAUCUAGCCAUGGGCAGGUUGAAGGUUGGGUAACACUAACUGGAGGACCGAACCGACUAAUGUUGAAAAAUUAGCGGAUGACCUGUGGCUGGGGGUGAAAGGCCAAUCAAACCGGGAGAUAGCUGGUUCUCCCCGAAAGCUAUUUAGGUAGCGCCUCGUGAAUUCAUCUCCGGGGGUAGAGCACUGUUUCGGCUAGGGGGCCAUCCCGGCUUACCAACCCGAUGCAAACUGCGAAUACCGGAGAAUGUUAUCACGGGAGACACACGGCGGGUGCUAACGUCCGUCGUGAAGAGGGAAACAACCCAGACCGCCAGCUAAGGUCCCAAAGUCAUGGUUAAGUGGGAAACGAUGUGGGAAGGCCCAGACAGCCAGGAUGUUGGCUUAGAAGCAGCCAUCAUUUAAAGAAAGCGUAAUAGCUCACUGGUCGAGUCGGCCUGCGCGGAAGAUGUAACGGGGCUAAACCAUGCACCGAAGCUGCGGCAGCGACGCUGAUGCGUUGUUGGGUAGGGGAGCGUUCUGUAAGCCUGCGAAGGUGGCCUGUGAGGGUUGCUGGAGGUAUCAGAAGUGCGAAUGCUGACAUAAGUAACGAUAAAGCGGGUGAAAAGCCCGCUCGCCGGAAGACCAAGGGUUCCUGUCCAACGUUAAUCGGGGCAGGGUGAGUCGACCCCUAAGGCGAGGCCGAAAGGCGUAGUCGAUGGGAAACGGGUUAAUAUUCCCGUACUUGGUGUUACUGCGAAGGGGGGACGGAGAAGGCUAUGUUGGCCGGGCGACGGUUGUCCCGGUUUAAGCGUGUAGGUGUGUGUUCCAGGUAAAUCCGGUU